AUAAGAUGUGAUGUUUGGGUAUCAUACAAUUCAAUGCUUGGAAUACACAGUGGAGAUCAUCUAAUCUAACUACUUGGCCAUUAAAGGAUCUACAAUACAGAAUCCAACUAAAGCAGGAUAAAAUAGUCCAUCUUUAGAUGCAACCCCCAUAUCUUCUCCAAAGUUGCUACAUAUUUAUUUUCCAGGCCUUCUACCAAAUUUAAUUCAAUUUGAACUUUAAAUAAAUUAAAUCAAAUUUUGUUUGCCCUCCUCAUUGCUGUUUAGAAUCCAGAUUUAUUAUUUUUUAUUUAUUAAAAUUCCAUGCCUCCCACCUCACUGAUACAAUGACUCUGGACAGCAUACAAUAUAAUAAAAAGUACUAAAAACAAUUACAGCUUUUCACUAUUAAAAAUUAAAGCAAUUAAAGCAAUUGGAUUGGGUUGGAUUGGAUUGGAUACUUUAUUUGGCUAGGUGUGAUUAGACACACAAGGGAUUUGUAUCCAGUACAGAAACACUUCGGUGUAUUUACAAAGCAACAGAGAGAAUAACAGUAAAAAUAAUAAUACCAAUAAAAGGGGAAAGUAAAGAAGAUAAUAAAAAGGAUAAAUAAUAAUACUUCAACCACACUGUAUGGGUUAAUAUAAAUAUACAUUAGCCAGAACUAUCUAUGAGAAUUCAGCAGUGAUGUCACAAGGGAAAAAACUAUCCCUGUGUCUAGUUGUCUUGGCACACAAUGCCCUAUAGCAGGGUUUUUCAAUCGGUGGUACGCACACCACUGGUAGUACAUUGGCACGUGACAGGUGGUACGCGGCCCUGCCCAGCCCAACCAAGGGUAGCCGGGGAGGGAACGAGCCAAAGCAAUGCAGUGCAGGACUUGCCAUGAGAGAGUCCUCGGGAGCUGCUGGGCUGCUAGGGCAAGGCCCCAGGAUCAGCACUUCCAGCACGCCUGGAAGAGAAGUGAGGAGGACGGGCAGAGACAGGAAGGGAUAUAAAAGGAGGCAGUUUGGGUGGGAGAGGAAGAGAGAAAAAAGAAGCAGCCUUGGGAGGAGGAGGAAGAGUCAGCUGGAGCUGCACUGAAGAGAAAAGGAGGGGUGAGAAAGGAGAGGAUAAAAAACAGGCUGUGUGCGCACACAGGUGGCAGCGACAAACAGAAUGCUUUGGUUACAAAGCUGGGUCUCCUCACAUGGAGAGAGAGUGGACCUCCCUCUGACCCAACCACUUUGCCCUCCUGCACCCAUCAUGAGCAACCUGGCCAAGGAGAGUGGGCACAUCAGCAGCAGCAGCCUUGACGAUAAGGUAAGCACAGCUAGACUUGUCAAAAAGUUGCAAAAGGUGAUCGCAUGACCCUGAGAUACUGUGACAGUCAUAAGUAUGAAUCAAUUGCCAAGCAUUCGAAUGUAAAUCACAUGACCUUGGGGAUGCUGCAACAGUCAUAAGUGUGAAAAAUGGUCAUUUUUCAAUGAUGUAAGUUCAGUCACUAAGCGCACUGUUGAAGUUGAGGACUACCUGUACUUUAUCACUUUUUCCCCUUUUUUUUUUUGGUCAUCAAGUUUUUGACAUCUUGUUAGGCGACUGGUGGUACUCGAAUAUUGUUAUAUCCUAAAAGUGGUACAAUCUGUGAAAAGGUUGAAAAGCCCUGCCCUAUAGCACCAUCCCAAGAGAAGGAGUUGAAACAGUUUAUGUCCAGGAUGUGAGGGGUGUGCAGAUAUCUUCUUGGCCUUCCUCUGACCUAUGCAAUAUACAGGAUUUCUAUGGAAAGCAAGCUGGUUGCAAUUAUUCUUUCUGCAGCCUUGAUUAUCCAUUGUAGUUUGUACCUGUCUUAUUUGGUUGUCAUAUCAAACCAGACAGUUAUUGAAGUAUAAAUAACAGACUCAAUAAUUUCUCUGUAAAACUGUAUCAGCAAUUCCUGGGGCAGUUUGAAUUCCCUAAGUUAAUUCAGGGGAGAACAUUCUUUGUUGUGCCUUUUUAAUCAUAGUUCUAAUAUUACUCAUCCCACUGCAAUUGGCCCGUACCCUCCCAUGCCAUUAGAGAAGGCAUGUUGUGGGUCCCAUCAGCCCAAUUAUUCUGGUUGUCAGGGUCCAAGAGAAAGGCCUUCUCUGCUGUUGCAUCUGCCCUCUGGAACAUCUUUCCCCCCAAUGUGAGGUCAGCCUCAACCCCCCUAACCUUUUGUAAGAACCUGAAGACCUGGCUCUGCCAGUUAGCUUGGGGCCUGUUCUGUCCCACUCACUCACACAUACAUAACUGGUUUAGUAUGUUUUUAAUAUUGCCCAGCAAUUCCCUUUACCAAAAAUCCAGCCACAAACAGACCAAUGCUAGUCCUCAGAGCAAUAGCCAAAGAGUCCACAAGGCACUUGAAAGUUUUUCAAUCAAAAUAAAUCCACCAGGCAAACUUAAAUCCACAACAUGAGAGAGUUCAUGAGGCAUGACAAGUCCAGAGUUUCCAAGGUAUGAUCCAAGUCAAGGCAUGGUUUCAAUUCAAAGCGAGGCAGGAAUCACAACGACCAGAAAACCCAUAGUUAGGAAACAAACACAUCGUUCCCAGCAUCGUCCCCAUCUCUCUGCAGUACUAAAUAGCCAGCUUCUGGUGUUUGAUGGGUGCUUGCCCCAUCAAGAAGGGCAAGGCUUUUUCCUCAUGAAUAAUCUGACUGACCAUCUCUGCUCCUGCCUUUUUUCUGUCAUAUGUGUUCUUGGAUCAGGUGCAGAAAGCAGUUCCUCUUUCUCAUAACUGACCAGCUGCAGCUACAUGCUUUCCCCACCUGGAGUCUCAGGAGUAUUUUACUGCAGCUGUGCUUCAGCCAAUUCCCUCACAACGGCUGCUUGGAGCCAUCAAUCAACUCACUCUUGAUGUGCCAGGAACUGGUUCAUCCUCCCCCAAGCUGCCAUCUAGACAGGUAUCUUGGGAAGCAUCUGGGAGAGACAUCACAGAGCCCCAGUGGGGGAGCAUCACAAUGGAGGUGGUUGAUCAAUUAACAACAGAUCCCAUCUUUCCCCACUCUGCCCCUGCCCUCACUAUCUUAAUUGUAUUAUAGUGUUUUAUAAUUUGUUAUAUCUAUCUAUCUAUCUAUCUAUCUAUCUAUCUAUCUAUCUAUCUAUCUAUCUAUCUAUCUAUCUAUCUAUCUAAUUGUAAGCUGUCCAGAAUUAUUCUAUGGUAAGAUGGGUAGCCAAUAAAUUUUAUAAAACAAGCAAAUAUUAAGCAUCCAUUUCAAGACCUGGGAGAUUAUAGAAUCCCAAAACUUUAAGAACUCUACUGCUGAUAUUGUGCUGUCGAAUAUACUAAGAGGAGGUAAAAUAGAAGGGCCCCUCCUAAAACCCCUCUCAUCUCUACAGUUUUAAGCAUGUUUAGCUCCAGAUUGUUACAGCUGCACCACAGGGCCAGUUGUUCACCCUUCUAUCUAUAAGCAGACUCAUCAUUGUCUCUCAAAUAAGGCCAAUUAUUGUUAUAUUAUCUGCAAGCUUCAGAACUUUAACUGUAGGUCCCCUUGAGGUGCAGUCAUUGGUAUAUAGAGAGAAGAGCAAUGGAGAAAGCAGAUAGCCCUGACGGACACCUGUGCUAGUUGCCCGAGUACAAAAUGUAAUUUUCCCUAACCUCACCUGUUGCUUCCUAUCUGAUUAUCCACCUGCAAGUAUGCAUAGGCAUAGUGAGCUGGAUCAGUUUAGAAUGAGGAAUUUCUGGAAUUAUGGUAUUGAACACUGACCUGAAGACCCCAAAAAGGACCCAUGCAUAAGUCCCCAGGGAUUCAAGAUGUUGCAAGAUGUAGUGCAAUGUCAUGUCAUAUUGACAUUAUCUGCCAACUUAUUUGCUCGGUAGGCAAACCGCAAGGGAUCUAACAGCAGAUCCAUUAUGACUUUCAGGUGGUCCAGCACUAACCUCUUAAAGGUUUUCAUAACUACAGAUGUCAGAGCAUCCGGUCUGUAGUCAUUCAGCUCCCUGAUGGAUUUCUUAGGAAUCGGGAUAAUAGUAGAGCAUUUAAAGCAAGAAGGGACACAACACAUCUCCAGUGUUUUAUUAAAAAGUUGUGUGAAGAUGGGGGCCAGUUGUUAAAAGAAUUGUUAAAACAAUGAAGCUUUCAACAUAAAUGCAGUCCUCGGACCUAGAACAGCCAUAUAUUCCUUAACUACAGAAUCUACAAAAUAUAAUUGUACAGCCUCUGUUUAAAUAUCUCAGAGCACCUAUUACUUCCCAAAACAAUCUGUGACACUAUCAUAACAUAAACAAUCCCCUGACAUUUUAAAUUCUUGGUCUUAAUCUCUUUUUCUGUCCUUGCAAAUCAACCUCACUUCUGCGAUGUACAAAUUUAACUUCAGUCCAUGCCUUUUGUUUUCAAAUUUCUCAUCUCUCAACCCUGAUUUUCUCAGCCAACCCAUCUACUCUUUCAUAUGUUUGUUUUACAAUUCAAUAUCCAUUCAGCAUUGCUGGACAAAACCACCUCAAGGUACUUCUUUCAUUUUAGCCACUCACUUUUGUAUUCAAUCCGUAUUUCUUCAACACUGUGACCGUAUUUUAUAUGUGUACCUCUUUGUUAGAUUUUGUUCCAUUUAGUUUUCUUACUGUAUCUUUAAAAAGAAAAGAUCUUUUCCAUUGUUUUACUUAUCUUUACAUCUUAAGUUUUAGAAAAAGGCAACUCUCCCUCCUUUUUCCUUUUUGUUCCUCUAACCUUGAAUUCUCCUCCAUGCCUUUUCAUUGUUAUUCUAAUGCAUCCUGAGCACCCAUGAAUCUUUCCCCCAUAAGUGAAGAGAUUAAAUGUCUUUAGAGAUUAGAGACUUAAAUAUCUUUAAGUCUCUUUACCUGAUCAUAAACAUACUUUGCUUUACAUUCUUCCAUUUUACCCUACUUGUUGAUGGUCUACAACUGUUAAAUAUUGUGAAUCAUAUCUAGUGCCAUUUUUGAAUAGUUAAUAACUGAACCUCCUACUCACUAAAGUUCAUCAAGAUAUUCCCUCUGUCUUUAUUUCUAUGAUUUCCUCUCCUUUGUUUGUAUUGUUCUUGUGGCUUUAAAUUUACUUAUGAACAAGCUUUGGGACUGUGUUCUGAAUUUCUCAGGUGGCUAGCAAAUACUAUUUCAAACUACAAAUGGGAAAAAUGAACUUCACUUUAGUGCUGUACCCACCUUCCAGCAAUCAACUACUGUAUUUCUAACCGAUCAACACUCCCUUUGCUAAUACCACUCUGGCUGCCAAGUUAGUGUUUAAAUGAAGGGACACAUUGUAUAUUACAGCAUGACCUUCCAUCUUGCAUCCUAGUUCAUUGCAUUCAAUCAUUGGAAAAUUAAACAGUUGGAAUUGUUUCUGUUCUUGAAUGCUCCUUGCUUUUAUACAAUUCAGAGCCCAUUAAAAUCUGUAAACAUUCCUAAGAGACAGAUAUAAAUUUAAUUGCUGGGGACAACUGAUUUUGGCCUGCAAUCCCAAUUUUUAGUGCUUUCAAGUUCCCCAAGACUGUAUUGUGAAUUACAUCAUUAUGAGUUUGUCAGUUUUCAACAGGCAAGCAAGCCUCUUAUUUGUUUCAGUGCACCUAUUAAUCUUAGAAUAGUCACUUUAAAAAAGGAUUUUAAAAGAUUGCAAAAAUGCAGCCCUGUCCCCAUUACUAAUACACAUCAUUUGCCUUAUGUGACUAUUGGUGUCAGCCCUUCAAGGUAGACUGCACAAGGAGUACUAGAACUCCAUUUUUGUACAGUAUAAUAAAUAGCAUCUUGUAAAUCUGUUUCCCUCUACCCCCUCUUAUACUAAGCCAAAUCAAGACGAAGUUAUCUGAGAUUCUUUUCAUUCUUUCUUCCUUCUCAGAGAUAAAUUGAUGCUUACUUAAUGAUUCUUGCAUUCUUUCUUCAGGUUUAUCUCCAGAAUCCUUCACAACAUCUCUCUUGUCAGACUCAGUCUCCCCUCUCAUCAACAAAGAUGAUACUGACAAGUUACUAUGGGAACCAGCUACAGACUCACUCCCAUCACCCUUAGUUGUCAGUUCAGAGAUAUAAAUGGCAUGUAUCCCACAAAUAAGCAGUCACAGAUCAUGAAAGGCAUUAUUAGUAGGAUGUGCAGGACUGUGGAGAAGAACACUGCUCACAAAUGAAGGCAAAUAUAUCUGUCCCAGGAUAAUGUUGCAGGAUCCAAUCUGGGUCGGUUACCGGGACCAGAAGUUUAGUCUUCUGAGCUUUCGGAGUCAUGCUGGAGUACAUCCUCAGGGAACUUUUUCCUCACCAGAAUGUCUGGUAAGAGAAAAGUUCCCUGAGGAUGGGCUCCAGCAUAAGUUCAAAAGCUUAGAAGACUAAACCUCUGGUGCUAGUGAUCAAUCCAGAUUGGAUCCUGCAAGAACACAGUUCCACAAAAUGCCACUGAAAUCUAAAGAUGGUUCAAUGACAGGGCAAGCAUGGACAACCUUACAAGUUUAACUUGGUUGGUUGAGGCACUAUGAGAAAGGUCCAAAUGCUGAUAUAUAGUAGGCAAAACUGAAAGUAAAGUUCACAGUUUUUUUGGAAACACUAGGAUGGGAACAUAGAACAUCUGCAGUAUUGUUGGAAUAUUCAUGAGCAGGAAGAGUCAUGUGGUAACUCAGUCAGCCAAUGUGAAGAAAGUGCUACUGAGUCUGUGCAAAACAGUAUUGAGUUAGGAGCUGAUUUCCAGUCUCAGGCUUG